rnacentral:rRNA from 1 species
AUUGAACGCUGGCGGCAGGCCUAACACAUGCAAGUCGAGCGGAUGAAGGGAGCUUACUCCUGGAUUCAGCGGCGGACGGGUGAGUAAUGCCUAGGAAUCUGCCUGGUAGUGGGGGAUAACGUCCGGAAACGGGCGCUAAUACCGCAUACGUCCUGAGGGAGAAAGUGGGGGAUCUUCGGACCUCACGCUAUCAGAUGAGCCUAGGUCGGAUUAGCUAGUUGGUGGGGUAAAGGCCUACCAAGGCGACGAUCCGUAACUGGUCUGAGAGGAUGAUCAGUCACACUGGAACUGAGACACGGUCCAGACUCCUACGGGAGGCAGCAGUGGGGAAUAUUGGACAAUGGGCGAAAGCCUGAUCCAGCCAUGCCGCGUGUGUGAAGAAGGCCUUCGGAUUGUAAAGCACUUUAAGUUGGGAGGAAGGGCAGUAAGUUAAUACCUUGCUGUUUUGACGUUACCAACAGAAUAAGCACCGGCUAACUUCGUG